AGCGAACGCUGGCGGCAGGCCUAACACAUGCAAGUCGAACGGAUCCUUCGGGAUUAGUGGCGGACGGGUGAGUAACACGUGGGAACGUGCCCUUUGGUUCGGAACAACUCAGGGAAACUUGAGCUAAUACCGGAUGUGCCCUUCGGGGGAAAGAUUUAUCGCCCUUGGAGCGGCCCGCGUCUGAUUAGCUAGUUGGUGAGGUAAAGGUUCACCAAGGCGACGAUCAGUAGCUGGUCUGAGAGGAUGAUCAGCCACAUUGGGACUGAAACACGGCCCAAACUCCUACGGGAGGCAGCAGUGGGGAAUCUUGCGCAAUGGGCGAAAGCCUGACGCAGCCAUGCCGCGUGAAUGAUGAAGGUCUUAGGAUUGUAAAAUUCUUUCACCGGGGACGAUAAUGACGGUACCCGGAGAAGAAGCCCCGGCUAACUUCGUGCCAGCCGCCGCCGUAA
rnacentral:rRNA from 1 species